rnacentral:rRNA from 1 species
GGCACCACUCCUAUAGCCAAGCGACCCUACAAGAUGCCGCCGCAUGAACUCCUUGAGCUUAAGGAGGAAAUCGAUAAUUCUCUUCGAAGUGGUUUCAUUCGCCCAAGUUGCUCUCCUUGGGGAGCACCUUCUCUCUUUGUCAAGAAGAAAGAUGGGACAAACCGAUUGGUCCAAGACUACCGUCCUAUAAAUCAAGCUACCAUUCAGAACAAGUAUCCUCUUCCUCGGAUCAAUGAUCUGUAUGAUCAAUUGGCUGGAUCAUCAGUGUUCUCUAAACUCGACUUGAGGUUGGGUUACCACCAGAUCCGUGUUCGUGAGGAAGAUAUCCCCAAGACCGCAUUCGUGACUCGAUACGGAUCUUACGAGUACACCGUCAUGUCUUUCGGCUUAACCAAUGCUCCAGCCACCUUCUCUCGCCUGAUGAACUAUAUAUUCAUGGAUUACCUCGACAAGUUCGUCGUGGUUUAUCUGGAUGAUAUUCUGGUAUUUUCCAAGAACGAAGAGGAGCAUGCUGAACAUCUUCGCCUCGUGCUGGAAAAGCUACGAGAGCAUCAGCUUUAUGCCAAGUUCUCCAAAUGUGAAUUCUGGCUUCCCGAAGUAACCUAUCUUGGGCAUGUCAUCUCUAAGGAUGGUAUUGCCGUCAACCCUGAACGAGUUCAGGCUAUUCUCGAUUGGACUCCUCCGAAG